UUUUUUUUUGUUUUUUUUUUGUUUUUGCUAUCUGACUUAUAGUGUCAGCAGUAUUAAUUUGAUCUGCCCAAUUAGAGAUAAUCUUUUUCUUAAAAAAUAUACAGGGUGUAAAAGGUUUAUCUACAUUAUGCACAAAGCAUAAUGUAUAAUUUAAAUGAAAACUAGUACUCUUAUACACCCGUGGCUCUUGAGGAGUUUGUCGUGCAUAAGGCACAUCCAAAAAACAUUCCUUUGCAAAAAACAAAGGCUAGGUAGAAGAAUUGGAAUGUACCGGUAAAGGUACUGGCCAUGAUCUUACUAUGGCCCACAAAGGUAUACUUAUCCCGGUCUCAAUUAUCAGGAGCAGGAGGAACAUCUUGGGGUUCAUCUUGCUCUUUCACGGUCCUUGUCAGUUGCGUCGGGACCCAAAGUGGAUUUUCUUCACCCUGUGGAAAAACACAAAUAGCUCCCCGGGAUCUGAUUAAGAUAGGAUCCAGGCCAUACCAUUUAUUAUCAAGGACAUUUUUCCAUUUGACCAUUUCAUUGGGCGAUUGAGGCCAUUGUCCGUGCCUUUUAAAUGGUGAUCUUUAAGCAUUAUCC
rnacentral:lncRNA from 1 species